rnacentral:ncRNA from 1 species
GUAACAACGAACCGUGAGAAGUCAGCAGAGGUCAUAGUAGCCGACAGGGUAAAAAAAUCGGUAGUCGGUGAAGGAC